rnacentral:rRNA from 1 species
UACGUAGGGUGCGAGCGUUGUCCGGAAUUACUGGGCGUAAAGAGCUCGUAGGCGGCUUGUCGCGUCGUCCGUGAAAACUUGGGGCUCAACCCCAAGCUUGCGGUCGAUACGGGCAGGCUAGAGUUCGGCAGGGGAGACUGGAAUUCCUGGUGUAGCGGUGAAAUGCGCAGAUAUCAGGAGGAACACCGGUGGCGAAGGCGGGUCUCUGGGCCGAUACUGACGCUGAGGAGCGAAAGCGUGGGGAGCGAACAGG